UGCAGUUUUUGUAAUUAUAUUCUUCCUUUCUCCAGGCUGUAGCUUUGUUUCUAAUAAAUAGUGUUUGUGUGAUUAGAUUUAUUUGCUACCACUUGGUUUGGUACUUGGUUUAAGUUAAAGGUGAAAUGGAAAGAGAGUGGAUGGAGGGAACAAAAUGAGGAAGUUGGCUUAUAAGAAAGAAAGAGAUGCAAGCAAAGAAAGAAGAUAAAAAGCUAUUGGAGACAAUGAAUUCAGCAACCUCAAAAACCGUUACAUAGGAUAAAAGAGUUGAAAUAGGAGAGGAAUGAGGCUGACCCAGUUUUGGAGAUGCAAGGGAAGAAUAGAAUUGAAGACCGGCAAAUGAGAAUGCAUACUUGACAAGGGAAAACCAGUGCCUGCAUUGUGGAGUACCACCAGCUGACAUCACAUGAUCUCUCAUCUUCUUAUGAGAGCUUGCUAUGGGGAAUGCAACUUGAAUUUUUUUAUCCAAAAAGGCGAUGAUGGGACUUUCAACACUGAGUUAACAACACCCCUUGCAGAUAUUUUGGGAUUCUCUAAAUCCUUGGAUGAGUGCUUUGAUGAAGAACGGAAGUAGGCUUAGGUUGCCCUUAAUUUGUUUGGGAACCUUAGAUUCUAUCAGAAUUUGUAAAGAAGACUACAAACAUGCCUUCGAGAAGCUUGCUGCCGUUUUGUGACUGGGAAACAUAUCAUUUCUUGUAACUGAUAAUCAAAAGCACAUCAAGGUUGUUUCUGAUGAAGCUGUUACAAAUGUUGCUGGCUUGAUGGGCUCUAGUGAGCAAGACCUGAUUCUUACAAGGUCAACCCGGAGGUCACCGAAUCUCUGACACCUCAACAGGCAAUUGACCAAGAGAUGCAUUGGCAAUGUUUAUUUAUGUGAGCGUGUUCGACUGGCUUGUGCAGCAGAUAAACUUGCCACUUUCCUAGGGGAAAGACGAGCUGCUCCAGCAUCAUUUCGAUCAACAUCUCGUCAAACAUGAGCAAGAAGAAUUUUGUUAUUGGUGCUGGUGAAACAUAACUACAAUCAAAAGAGUAUGAGUUGGAUGAAAUUGACUGGAAAAGGAUUUUGAAGACAACCAAGAUUUUGUGGAUCCUUUUGAGAAGGAAAAUGGAGGAAAAAGAAAUCAGGGCAAGAAAAUGGAGGAGUUUGGAAAUCAAUGGAAAAAUGCUGCAAAUUUGAGCUAAAGGGGUAAAAAUGAGAAUAAGGUCUCGUCUCACCCACCAAAAAAGAGGAAGACUCAUGCUUUCAUUACCAAACUCUCACGUCUCCCAGCUAGAAAGCAGGCAUAACUCCACUCUUUUGACUGCACUCUCCAUUCUUUGCAUCCAUUGUUCCAUUGGAAAAAAGGGGUCCACGACUAAUUCAACUCUACCUACAGUACCAGCUGUUGUACCAGAGACAGAAGAGGGCAGAAGAUGGCUCCUCCUAAUAGCAAUCGGCCACUACUCCUGUACCACUUACCAUUCACACCAUUCCCAACAAUUCUUUCCCCAAUUUGGCCCACAUCUGUAGAGGAUGGAACCAUCUACAGAAUCAGCCCUACCUCAAUUCCUUGGGGAGGAAGUUUUCAAUCCCCAAGUAUAAAAGCAAUGCUCUGCCCUAGUUGAAAGGGACGAGCAACCGUGUUUAGGUCCACUUUAAUCCUCAAGGACGUGGUGGCUAACAUCAAACCUCGUGUAAGCAACUUCAUUGCUGCUGGGAAUAUGUAUGGUGCUAAAAUAUAGACCUGUAGGCUGAGGUGAAGAAGUGCUUCUGAACACAACUAUCUCAAUCCGAGUGAAUGUUUCAGAUCCCAAACGUUAAUAAUGAACAAGAGUUUCAUAUUCUUAUGGUAAAUGACAGGUCUUGAAUAUGCAAUGUAUAUUGGUUAGCUACACCCAUUUGUUUUUCUCGUACUCACUCAUUAUUCAACCACCCAACCUCUUUUGUGUCUGGGGUGGUUUGAAUCUUUAGUGAAGAAACUGAUGCACUGGUGGGAUAAAAAGCAUAGUUUCUAUAGAACUUUCUAAUCUUUUUAGUAUAUUUAUUAUAUUUACAAUAUUUAUUAAUUCUGGAAUAUGUUUGCACUCCUUAAGUAGCCUUAGAUUCUAUCAGAAUCUGUAAAGAUGAUCAGGAACACAUCAAGAUGCUUGUUGCAAUUUUGUGGUGGGGAAACAUAUCAUUUCUUGUAAUUGAGAAUCGGUUGGUUCUGAUGAAGGCUGUAGUGAGCAAGACCUGAUGCUUACAAUGUCAACCCAAAAGGUAUGAGUGGGAAAUGAUGAGGUCACCAAAUCUCCGACACUUGAACAGGUUUAUAAUUUUGAAGAUCAAUAAUUACUUGCAUAAUGCAUAUUUUACAGGAAGGUUUGAUUGCUAAACCAUCACACUUAUGGUAUGUUGAUUUUCCCUCAUAUCUAAGCAAUUGACAUGAGAUAUGCUUUAGCAUUGUUUAUUUAUGUGACUUGUUCGACUGGCUUGUGGUGCAGAUCAACAUGUCAUUUCCAUGGUGAUUACUCUUAUAUACUUUUUUCUAUUAUUAUAUAUGUGGCAUACAAAAAUCUUUGUUAUCAGCUUGUGUCCUUUUCACUUAAUAAUUGGUGUUUCGUUAUUAAGAACCUAUUUUCUUUAAAACAUACCACAGCAUGAAUGUAACAUAUAUUGUUGAUGAUGCACAAGUCAUUGCAAUUUUCUCUUAAUAAAAAAAUCAUUUAUUGCCUGAAACACAUUUAUAGCUUUUCUGGAAAAUAUUAUGACCGGAAGCCCAUGAUUAUUUUUUCAAGUAGGCUGAGGUUAAGAAGUGCUUCUGAACACAACUAUCUAAAUCCGAGUGAAUGUUUUUCAGAUCCCAGACAUUGAUAAUGAACAAAAGCUUCAUAAUCGUAUGGUCAAUGACAGGUCUUGAAUAUGUAUUGUAUAUUGGUUAGCUACACCCAUUUGUUUUUCUCGUACUCACUCAUUAUUCAAGCACCCAACCACUUUUGUCUCUGGAGAGCCUUCGAUUUAUAAAGAUGACGAGGAAUGCCUCAAAAUGCUUGCUACAGUUUUGUGGCUGUGAAACAUAUCAUUUCUUGUAAUUGAGAAACAAAAGCACAUCGAGGUUUUUCCUGAUGAAGCUUGCUUGAUGGGCUGUAGUGAGCAAGAUCGGAUGCUUUCAACGUGAAAGUGCCAGCGGGAUCUCUGUCACUUGAACAUGUUCUUAAUUUUGUGUGUAUGCCCAGUGUAUAUUUUGUGUAUGAG